GUAAAUUUAGACAAGUCUGAAAUACCAGGAAUGCUGAGUUUGACCUGGGCUUUCUUGGAGGCCUCACUGCUAUGUCUGAAAGCAUGUUUAUUGCUGUUCUUCAUCAUUACUCAACAUUAAAGUUGACGCACUCAGGCUGGAGUCUGGAUUUUCAGGACUUGAAGCACACGAACAGGCUACCAUGGUCUGCUGAAGUCUGAAACCGCUGCUGAAGCUUCAGUGGCCUGUGGUUCUGGUACUACAAAAGAUAAAAAUCCCCAGGAGCUUCAGCAAGCAGGCUUCCCCUGAGGACCUUUCUCUAACGUAUCUGUGACUUUUACUGCUUCCUCCUUCUUCCAUCUGUCAGCUCGGCAGCAACAGGGCCAGACAAAGUCCAGAUAACUUGCUCUCUGUGGUCUGGCAUUGCUGAGUGCUUAACUGUG
rnacentral:lncRNA from 1 species